UACGUAGGGACCAAGCGUUGUUCGGAUUUACUGGGCGUAAAGGGCGCGUAGGCGGCGUGACAAGUCACUUGUGAAAUCUCCGGGCUUAACCCGGAAAGGUCAACUGAUACUGUGCGACUAGAGUGCGGAAGGGGCAACUGGAAUUCUCGGUGUAGCGGUGAAAUGCGUAGAUAUCGAGAGGAACACCUGCGGCGAAGGCGGGUUGCUGGGCCGACACUGACGCUGAUGCGCGAAAGCCAGGGGAGCGAACGGG
rnacentral:rRNA from 1 species